GAUGAACGCUGGCGGCGUGCUUAACACAUGCAAGUCGAACGGAAAGGCUCCUGCUUGCCGGGGUACUCGAGUGGCGAACGCGUGAGUAACACGUGGGUGAUCUGUCCUUCACUUCGGGAUAUGCCUGGGAAACUGGGUCUAAUACCGGAUUGGACCUCAUGUUGGAUGGUGUGCUGGAAAGUUGUUCGGUGUGGGUUGGUCUUGUGGCCUAUCAUCUUGUUGGUGGGGUAAUGGCUUACCAAGGGGUCGACGGGUAGCCGGCCAGGGAGGGUGGACGGCCACAUUGGUACUGAGGGACGGCGCAGACUCCUACGGGAGGCAGCGGUGGGGAAUAUUGCACAAUGGGCGCAAGCCUGAUGCAGCGACGCCGCGUGGGGGAUGACGGCCUUCGGGUUGUAAACACCUUUCGCUGGAGACGAAGCGGAAGUGACGGUACCUGGAGAAGAAGCCCCGGCUAACUACGUG
rnacentral:rRNA from 1 species